UCAAGCAAGAAGAGGUUUGCGGCGGAUGCCUGGGAGCUGUCCGGCGAAGAAGGCCGCGGUAAGCUGCGAAAAGCUGCGGGGAGGAGCACACAUCCUGAGAUCCGCAGAUAGCCGAAUGGGGUAACCCGUAUGUCGCAAGGCAUACACCGCGCGCGGGAAGAAGAUACUGCGGCGGAGCGAUACUGCGUGAAGUGAACCAUCUAAGUAACGCGGGAAGAGAAAUCAAAAGAGAUUGCGCAAGUAGCGGCGAGCGAACGCGCAGGAGCCUAAACCCUUAUGUAGGGUGUUGCAGGGCCGCACGGGGAUGACCCGUGGAGUUGGUGAGAAAACCGAUAUGUAGCGGAAGCGUCUGGAAAGGCGCGCGAUACAGCGUGAAAGCCGCGUAUGCGAAAGAUAUCGGACUCCAUGGUGCGGUACCUAAGUAGGGCGGGGCACGAGAAACCCUGUUUGAAUCCGGGUCGACCACGAUCCAAGGCUAAAUACGAGACAGCUACCGACAGCGAAGAGUACCGUGAGGGAACGGCGAAAAGAACCCCUGUGAGGGGAGUGAAAGAGAACCUGAAACCGCAAACCGACAAGAUGUCACGGCGCGCGAGCGUUGUGGCGUGUCUUUUGUAGAAUAAACCUGCGAGUUGCGAUGCGCGGCGAGGCUAAGGGUUGGGAGAUCCGGAGCCGGAGCGAAAGCGAGUGUGAAAAGUGCGAAAAGUCGCGUGACGCAGACCCGAAGCCAAGGUGAUCUAAUUAUGGGCAGGCUGAAGGCAGGGUGAAACCUGUUGGAGGGCCGAACAGUAAUCUGUUAAAAAAGGUAGUGAUGACCUGUGAUUAGGAGUGAAAGGCUAAACAAACCUGGAAAUAGCUGGCUCUCCCCGAAAUGCCUUUAGGGACAGCCUCAUGCAAAGCGGAAGGAGGUAAAGCACCGGAUGGGAUAGGGGGCGUCACAGUCUACCGACACCAAUCGAACUCAGAAUGCCAUCCGCCAACGCAUGGGAGUGAGACUGUGUGCUCCAAGGUUCACAGUCGAGAGGGAAACAGCCCGGACCGACGGCAAAGGUCCCGAAAUAACGCUCAGUGUGAAAUGAGGUGCGUCUGCACAGACAGCCAGGAGGUUGGCUCAGAAGCAGCCAUUCCUUAAAAGAGUGCGUAACAGCUCACUGGUCGAGCAGGCGUGCGCAGACAAUGUAACGGGGCUAAGCGUUAUACCGAAGCCGCGGGCCCGCAUUGUAAGAUGCGGGCGGUAGGGGAGCAUUGCGCUAACCGAAGAAGGCGUACCUGUGAGGGGCGCUGGAGGAAGCGGAAGAGAGAAUGCAGGCACAAGUAACGAAAAGACGGGUGAGAUUCCCGUCCGCCGAAAGCCUGAGGAUUCCCGGGUAAAGGCAAUCUGCCCGGGGUAAGUCGGCCCCUAAGGCGAGGACGAAAGUCGUAGUCGAUGGGAAAUCGGUUCACAAUCCGAUACCCGGCUCAGUUUUGAAGGCAGGACGCAUGAGGUGAAAUCCGGCAGGAGAACGGUAGAUUCUGUCCAAGCGGUAAGGUGUUGAGAGGGCGGUUAAAAGAGCCCUUGAGCUGAGCCGUUACGGGGAGCGGAGCGCAGGCGAAGCGAAGCGGAUGUAAUCAAGGUGCCGGGAAAUACUGUCUAAAGUUAGGCUGAGUCGGACCGUACCGGAAACGGACACACGCAGGCAGGAUGAGUAAUCUAAGGCGCACGAGCGACCCCGCGUUAAGGAACUCGGCAAAAAGCACACGUAACUUCGGAAGAAGUGUGGCUCACGCUGAUAAGGAUGUGAGCGGCAGAAAGCAGGCCCAGGCGACUGUUUACCAAAAACACAGCCAUCUGCGAACCGGCAACGGGACGUAUAGGUGGUGACACCUGCCCGGUACCGGAAGGUUAAGGGGAGGGGUUAGCAGGAAUGCGAAGCUCCGAACCGAAGCCCCGGCAAACGGCGGCCGUAACUAUAACGGUCCUAAGGUAGCGAAAUUCCUUGUCGGGUA
rnacentral:rRNA from 1 species